rnacentral:rRNA from 1 species
AAAAACAUGUCCUAUUGUUUUUUUUUUAGGUCUGUCCUGCUCAGUGAUUUUUUUUAAAUAGCCGCAGUAUUUUAACUGUGCUAAGGUAGCAUAAUAAUUAGUCUUUUAAUUGGGGUCUGGAAUGAAUGGUUUGAUGAAAAAAGUUCUUUAUUAAUAAUAUUUUAAUUGAAUUUUGUUUUCUAGUAAAAAUUCUAGAAUUUUAAAGAGGGACGAUAAGACCCUAUAGAUCUUUACAAUUUUCUUCUUAAUAUUAUUUUUGUUGUUUUUUUUUAUAAGGGUAAAUUUGUUUUGUUGGGGUGACAUUUAAAAUUUUAAACUUUAGUUUUUUUUUACAUUUAUUUAUGAUUAUUUAGAUCCUUAUUUUUUGAUUUUAAGAAAAAGAUACCUUAGGGAUAACAGCGUUAUAUAUUUGGAGAGUUCUAAUCGAUAAAUAUGUUUGCGACCUCGAUGUUGGAUUAAAGUUAAUUUGUGGGGUAGGUUUUACAAAAUUAG